rnacentral:tRNA from 1 species
AUAGAAUGAAUCAAAUAAGGAGAGGCGACCGAGCCACUCUUAUACUACUCCUUACCUCACCCCCUUCUCACUCACUUUAAGGGCGAAGUCGCUGAAGCGAGUCGAGUCUAAAGGCCAAAGAGUUAUCUUUGAACGUUACUACGCAUCCUUAUUAAUUCAUAGGUAUAGUGUAAGGUAGGUUUGUUUGGGUAUAGCAGGACUUGAACCUGCGACCAUUAGGUUAAAAGCCCAAUGCUCUACCAACUGAGCUAUACACCCCAAAUAUAUAAAUAUAGUCGUAAAUAAAGAUUGGUGCAGAAAAGAGGGCGGCCCCUCUUCUCCUCAUCAUAUUAAAGGGGCUCUGUAUGAGGCUCGUACUGCGGA